ensembl:lncRNA
AUACGUAAAAGUUCACCAUCUUCCAGGGUGGCCAGAGCCAAAAACAAACACUCAGGCCCUGACCCAAAGUCCAUUCUCGAGUCUGUCUCAGACUAUGAGCUCUUUAAGGAGGCAGAUGGGGCCACUGCCAGCACAGGGCCAGAUGUAAAUAGUUUAAAAGUGACUGAGAAGAGAAGGAGGAAGACAAGGGAAGAGAAAGAACAAAGAUGUGAAGAGGAAGAAGGAAAGUGCACCUUUAUUCUAGCCUGUGUGCCUCUGUCUGUCCACGCUAAACCUUUGGGAAGUUGCUCUUUGACCACUCUGAACCUAAUUGCUCUCUCCCUUCCCUGGCUUCACCAUCUGGCCCCCACCACCUCAGCAGAGAAUUGCCUGUGUCCCCACCAUGGGCUUGGACUCCCAGCCUGCUGCCACUGUGGUUAUUUGCUGCCUGUGCCUCAGCUCUCGUCUGCUAGUUGCUUCUUCCUUCUCCCCUCUGUGGUCAUCAGCCCUUGCUGCAGUUUUUAUUCAUUGGGUGAUGGGGUAGCCAGGGGCUGAGGCACUCUGGUAGCUCCUGCAGAGGAAGGAGAAGUCCAGGGCACAUUCCAACCCUGCCGGUGCUGGCGCAGCCCCUCAGUGGUGUAAAAUCUCACGCCUGGAGCCCUGUGAGCUCCUGGUGCCAGCUGCAAUUUUAUUGGUGGUCUGUGACUUCAAAGGCCUCUCCCCCUGCAUGGCUGAAGCAGCAGGCUGCAGAGCAGAAGGCCUGUGCCCAUGGCACCAGGGAAUUCCCCUGGAUCUGGACCCAGCCUCUCUGUAGGCUGCCCUGCCUCUUUCUUUUAUAGUCACAAAGUCAGUCUGUGACCACAGCAGAUGGAGAGGAACCACUUGUAUAGGAGACUGCUUUCAAGGACCUGUAUGCCCCAGUCUGUAGGCAAGACACUUCUACCAAACAUCUAUUCAAUGUCCCAACAUUCCUUCCUAUAGAAACUCCUUCAGCAUCAAGGUGGGAGGCUAGGCUGUGGUCUGGGUGAUCCUAGGCAUCCGCCUGACUUUUCUGUGCCUUGUCUAUCAGGGGAGUGGGAGUUGAUACCAAGGCCUGGCUGACUGCCUCACCACUCUUUGGAGGCUUAGAAAUGUCAAGUGUGGGAGAACAGGCAGGAAAUCUCCCUGUGGCAGGGACUGCUCCGUCCACACUGCUGGCAUCCCUCUCUGGUAGAGAGAAACUCAAUCGAGUCUUUAAGACAUACUCUGGCUUUGAGUCUCAACUGUGACAUGUCCUAACUGGGCUACCUUGGAGAGUUACCCACCCCCUCUGUGCCUCAGUUUCCUCAUAGGGAUUAGUUGAUACUGAUGAAACACUGGACCAGUCACUGGCACUUGGUGGGUGAUGCAGACAUGCUUGCUAAUUCUUUCUAGUAACAAAUAGGAGCAAUAGGAGCCUCAUGUUGCUUGUUUAUUCCACAUGAAUAGGUUUGUCUGUCGAUGAGGUGACAAGCUUCCAGUUUUCUUGCCUUCUUCUCCCCACAACACACAUGGACACACAGACAUAUGCCAGCCUGGUAUGGUAUCAAAAGCAGUGCGGAGGUGAGACCCUGCUAAGUUAGCUUAGGGAAGUCAUGAAGUCCCUGCAGAAUCAGCCUACUCACUUUUAAAGAGGGGCUAAGGGUAACCUGCUUCCCAGAGCAAGAUCAAAUUCACAUGAAAUUUAAGUAAAGCUACCAGUAAACAUCAGUGAAGCUCAGUGCUCUGCCUAUGGUAGGCAUUUAAUGAAUGUUCUAGUUCUCUCCUGGCUGGGCGCAUGAUGGCUCAAAAGACACUUGAGGGUGAAGAAUAUGUUUAAGCUGGGAAGUCAAGGGCCUCACCCUCUACCACAGGCCACACCUCCCAGAGGGGCCACACUUAUGAGGCCCUCCGAUGGACCAGGAGGGGUGAAGCCCUCAGGGGCAAGGACUGCAUCUUCUCCCUCGCACUUGCCAGCAGCUGGUCCAGCUCGGUACAAACAACGUGAGACACGAGCCCAGCAACAGUGACCCUGGCUGUCUGAAAUCCUGUCCAGAAGGAAAUUAUUGAGAGAGAACUGAAGAAAGCAAAGCUGCUCUCAGACACAUUCCCAAUCUUGCCGGAGAUGGAAACUAACAGGGAUGGAAACAUGACAGCAGAAAAAUACAGACCAUUUUGAAGUCUGCCCACCUGGGAGUCAAGCCACAUUGAAAAUCAAUAAGGCACCAAGGCCGGGAGCUCGGGAGCCGACUGGAUACCUGCUUGUGCCUCCUUUAAAGCAGGGAAAGCUUUGAAGUUGCAGACGACCAAUAAAAAUACAGCUGGCAUUUACA